rnacentral:rRNA from 1 species
AGCGAACGCUGGCGGCAGGCCUAACACAUGCAAGUCGAACGGAUCCUUCGGGAUUAGUGGCGGACGGGUGAGUAACACGUGGGAACGUGCCCUUUGGUUCGGAACAACUCAGGGAAACUUGAGCUAAUACCGGAUGUGCCCUUCGGGGGAAAGAUUUAUCGCCAUUGGAGCGGCCCGCGUCUGAUUAGCUAGUUGGUGAGGUAAAGGCUCACCAAGGCGACGAUCAGUAGCUGGUCUGAGAGGAUGAUCAGCCACAUUGGGACUGAGACACGGCCCAAACUCCUGCGGGAGGCCGCAGUGGGGAAUCUUGCGCAAUGGGCGAAAGCCUGACGCAGCCAUGCCGCGUGAAUGAUGAGGGUCUUAGGAUUGUAAAAUUCUUUCACCGGGGACGAUAAUGACGGUACCCGGAGAAGAAGCCCCGGCUAACUUCGUGCCAGCAGCCGCGGUAAAAC